ensembl:lncRNA
GGUCCUCGCUUGGUCCCGAGGCGCUUUGCUCCACACGUCUGUAAGAGCUCCACCACAAGGCCCUGGCUGCUGUGGCGUAGGGGCUACACUGGAGUGGCAUCGUGGCCAUGUUAUUACUAUAUUAUGGUGACGUUGCGGCUGCUGCUACGGCUGCUACGGCAGCCAGCAGAGACGCUGUGUUACGGCUGCCGUGUCCGCCAGGAGAGAACACGUGUCUGCAGUUCCUGCGGCUCCUCGAGUCUCCUUCCAACCUCUUAGCUUGGGCCUUGCCGACCCUGGGUUCAGCGAACAGUGCGCACAGUGAACAGCGAGACAAUUGGCAUCACAAACAGGAUGAAGAGCAAUACAAAAAUACAGGGACUUAUUUUUUCAUAUUUUAAUAAGAUUUUGAAAGACAAGGGGUGGCUUGAGAACAGGACCAGCUUUGUCUCCCUCACCGUCCUGACUGGUCCUCAGUCUCAGAUUCUCACAGACCAGCACCAGGAGACCUGGACAGGCUGUCAUGGCCAGCUCUCCGUGGAUUUGUGGAUUCGAAUCAAGAAUCAGGAAUUCUAGGACCUGCCCCCAUCUCACAUCCAUUGCAUCUCCACACCACCAUCAACCUCAUUUCUUAUUGAUUUAGUUCAGCUGCGUGGCCCUCUUGGCACCUCAGGAACAACACCUGUAAAACAGCUAACACAAUAAAUCCCCAGUCUGGGACUGGGUGCUACAUGGGUUGAUCUUGGGAUCAUAGAGCCAGCAAUUCUGCAGAUGGACCACCACUUUGGCGGAGGAACCUUAUCCUGUACCUGGCCAGACAUCAAGUGCCAGGGAGAGACCAUAGCGCAGCCUGAGUCAUGAGCCACACAUUCAAGGCCAUGAUCAGGAUCACCGCAAAACCCUGAUACCAGCCUCACAGAACACUAUGAAAUCUGAGGAGGACCGACGAUUCUAAGUGCUCCCCAAUGCAUCCUCUACAGCAUUUGCACACGGUGCCCAG